rnacentral:snRNA from 1 species
CUAUUUUCAAUGGUUAUCAUUUUU